ACCUGGGUGGCUCAGUUGGUUAAGUGUCCGACUUCAACUCAGGUCAUGAUCUCAUGGUUCAGGAGUUCGAACCCCUUCUCAGGCU
rnacentral:tRNA from 1 species